AAAUUGAAGAGUUUGAUCAUGGCUCAGAUUGAACGCUGGCGGCAGGCCUAACACAUGCAAGUCGAACGGUAACAGGAAGCAGCUUGCUGCUUUGCUGACGAGUGGCGGACGGGUGAGUAAUGUCUGGGAAACUGCCUGAUGGAGGGGGAUAACUACUGGAAACGGUGGCUAAUACCGCAUAACGUCGCAAGACCAAAGAGGGGGACCUUCAGGCCUCUUGCCAUCAGAUGUGCCCAGAUGGGAUUAGCUUGUUGGUGAGGUAACGGCUCACCAAGGCGACGAUCCCUAGCUGGUCUGAGAGGAUGACCAGCCACACUGGAACUGAGACACGGUCCAGACUCCUACGGGAGGCAGCAGUGGGGAAUAUUGCACAAUGGGCGCAAGCCUGAUGCAGCCAUGCCGCGUGUAUGAAGAAGGCCUUCGGGUUGUAAAGUACUUUCAGCGGGGAGGAAGGUGUUGUGGUUAAUAACCGCAGCAAUUGACGUUACCCGCAGAAGAAGCACCGGCUAACUCCGU
rnacentral:rRNA from 1 species